UACAGAGGGUGCGAGCGUUGUCCGGAAUCACUGGGCGUAAAGGGCGCGUAGGCGGCCUGGCAAGUCUGUGGUGAAAGCUCGUGGCUCAACUGCGAGUCGGCCAUAGAUACUGCGAGGCUCGAGUCGACUAGAGGCAGAUGGAAUUCCGGGUGUAGCGGUGGAAUGCGUAGAGAUCCGGAAGAACACCGGUGGCGAAGGCGGUCUGCUGGGGUCG
rnacentral:rRNA from 1 species